rnacentral:rRNA from 1 species
CGUACACUCCUGCGGGAGGCAGCAGUGGGGAAUAUUGGACAAUGGGCGCAAGCCUGAUCCAGCCAUGCCGCGUGAGUGAUGAAGGCCCUAGGGUUGUAAAGCUCUUUCACCGGUGAAGAUAAUGACGGUAACCGGAGAAGAAGCCCCGGCUAACUUCGUGCCAGCAGCCGCGGUAAUACGAAGGGGGCUAGCGUUGUUCGGAUUUACUGGGCGUAAAGCGCACGUAGGCGGACUAUUAAGUCAGGGGUGAAAUCCCGGGGCUCAACCCCGGAACUGCCUUUGAUACUGGUAGUCUUGAGUUCGAGAGAGGUGAGUGGAAUUCCGAGUGUAGAGGUGAAAUUCGUAGAUAUUCGGAGGAACACCAGUGGCGAAGGCGGCUCACUGGCUCGAUACUGACGCUGAGGUGCGAAAGCGUGGGGAGCAAACAGGAUUAGAUACCCCUGUAGUCCCA